GUUAUGAAAUGUAAGGAUGUUAAUAGUAUUCUUACUUGACUAAGGCUCCGGAGGAAGCCACGGCUAACUCUGUGCCAGCAGCCGCGGUAAUACAGAGGCGGCAAGCGUUGUUCGGAAUUAUUGGGCGUAAAGAGCAUGUAGGCGGCUAUGUAAGUCGGUUGUGAAAGCCUUCCGCUUAACGGAAGAAUGGCGGCCGAAACUGCAUAGCUUGAGUGCGGUAGGGGAGAGUGGAACUUCUGGUAAU
rnacentral:rRNA from 1 species